AACGCUGGCGGCGUGCCUAACACAUGCAAGUCAAGGAGAAUUCCCGACUUGUCGGGAUAGUAAACUGGCGAACGGGUGAGUAACACGUAGGUAAUCUACCCUCGGGAUCGGGAUAACCUCGCGAAAGUGGGGAUAAUACCGAAUAAAGUCUCGGUAUAAUUUGUCGAGAUGAAAGAUGGGGAUCUUCGGACCUAUUACCUGAGGAUGAGCCUGCGCCUGAUUAGCUAGUUGGUAGGGUAAAUGCCUACCAAGGCAACGAUCAGUAGCUGGUCUGAGAGGAUGAUCAGCCACAUUGGGACUGAGAUACGGCCCAGACUCCUACGGGAGGCAGCAGUGAGGAAUUUUGCGCAAUGGGCGAAAGCCUGACGCAGCAACGCCGCGUGACUGAUUAAGCUCUGAGGAGUGUAAAAGUCUGUCGUAGAGGAAGAAACUAUCCGAUAAGAAUAUUGUCGGAUACUGACGGUACUCUAUGAGAAAGCUCCGGCUAACUCCGUG
rnacentral:rRNA from 1 species